CUAUGAAGGCACAAUCUCCUCCUGGUUCCAGAUGGUUUUACCUGACUCGCUCUACUUGAAGAGGCAAAAUAGGCAAUUAAGAACACAUAAUGAAGCAAGUCAUGUCCAUCAUAGAAGCCGUAAUUUAAGUGAAGAUCUUUAAAAUUUCUUUCUGA